rnacentral:rRNA from 1 species
GAUGAACGCUGGCGGCGUGCCUAAUACAUGCAAGUCGAGCGAACAGACGAGGAGCUUGCUCCUCUGACGUUAGCGGCGGACGGGUGAGUAACACGUGGAUAACCUACCUAUAAGACUGGGAUAACUUCGGGAAACCGGAGCUACUACCGGCUAAUAUAUUGAACCGCAUGGUUCAAUAGUGAAAGACGGCUUUGCUGUCACUUAUAGAUGGAUCCGCGCCGCAUUAGCUAGUUGGUAAGGUAACGGCUUACCAAGGCGACGAUGCGUAGCCGACCUGAGAGGGUGAUCAGCCACACUGGAACUGAGACACGGUCCAGACUCCUACGGGAGGCAGCAGUAGGGAAUCUUCCGCAAUGGGCGAAAGCCUGACGGAGCAACGCCGCGUGAGUGAUGAAGGUCUUCGGAUCGUAAAACUCUGUUAUUAGGGAAGAACAAAUGUGUAAGUAACUAUGCACGUCUUGACGGUACCUAAUCAGAAAGCCACGGCUAACUACGUG